rnacentral:rRNA from 1 species
UACGUAGGGUCCGAGCGUUGUCCCGGAAUUAUUGGGCGUAAAGGGCUCGUAGGCGGUUUGUCGCGUCGGGAGUGAAAACUCAGGGCUCAACCCUGAGCGUGCUUCCGAUACGGGCAGACUAGAGGUAUGCAGGGGAGAACGGAAUUCCUGGUGUAGCGGUGGAAUGCGCAGAUAUCAGGAGGAACACCGGUGGCGAAGGCGGUUCUCUGGGCAUUACCUGACGCUGAGGAGCGAAAGCAUGGGGAGCGAACAGG